rnacentral:rRNA from 1 species
AUUGAACGCUGGCGGCAGGCCUAACACAUACAAGUCGAGCGGAUGAAGGGAGCUUGCUCCUGGAUUCAGCGGCGGACGGGUGAGUAAUGCCUAGGAAUCUGCCUGGUAGUGGGGGAUAACGUCCGGAAACGGGCGCUAAUACCGCAUACGUCCUGAGGGAGAAAGUGGGGGAUCUUCGGACCUCACGCUAUCAGAUGAGCCUAGGCCGGAUUAGCUAGUUGGUGGGGUAAAGGCCUACCAAGGCGACGAUCCGUAACUGGUCUGAGAGGAUGAUCAGUCACACUGGAACUGAGACACGGUCCAGACUCCUACGGGAGGCAGCAGUGGGGAAUAUUGGACAAUGGGCGAAAGCCUGAUCCAGCCAUGCCGCGUGUGUGAAGAAGGUCUUCGGAUUGUAAAGCACUUUAAGUUGGGAGGAAGGGCAGUAAGUUAAUACCUUGCUGUUUUGACGUUACCAACAGAAUAAGCACCGGCUAACUUCGUG